rnacentral:rRNA from 1 species
CAAGUCGAGCGAGAAGACGUAGCAAUACGUUUGUAAAGCGGCGAACGGGUGAGGAAUACAUGGGUAACCUACCCUCGAGUGGGGAAUAACUAGCCGAAAGGUUAGCUAAUACCGCGUACGCUUCUUGGACUUCGGUUCAGGGAGGAAAGCGAGGCCGUGGGUCUCGCGCUCUUGGAUGGGCUCAUGUCCUAUCAGCUUGUUGGUGAGGUAACGGCUCACCAAGGCUUCGACGGGUAGCUGGUCUGGGAGGACGAUCAGCCACACUGGCACUGCGACACGGGCCAGACUCCUACGGGAGGCAGCAGUAAGGAAUAUUGCGCAAUGGGCGAAAGCCUGACGCAGCGACGCCGCGUGGGGGAUGAAGGUCUUCGGAUUGUAAACCCCUUUCGGGAGGGAAGAUGGAAUGGGGUAACCCAUUCGGACGGUACCUCCAGAAGCAGCCACGGCUAACUUCGUGCCAGCAGCCGCGGUAAUACGAAGGUGGCAAGCGUUGUUCGGAUUUACUGGGCGUACAGGGAGCGUAGGCGGUUCGGUAAGCCCUCUGUGAAAUCUCCAGGCUUAACCUGGAACAGUCGGAGGGGACUGCCGGGCUAGAGGACGGGAGAGGAGCGCGGAAUUCCCGGUGUAGCGGUGAAAUGCGUAGAGAUCGGGAGGAAGGCCGGUGGCGAAGGCGGCGCUCUGGAACGUUUCUGACGCUGAGGCUCGAAAGCGUGGGGAGCAAACAGGAUUAGAUACCCUGGUAGUCCACGCCUUAAACUAUGAAUACUAAGUGUCGGCGGGUUACCGCCGGUGCCGCAGCUAACGCAUUAAGUAUUCCGCCUGGGAAGUACGGCCGCAAGGUUGAAAC